CGUCUGCCACAACCGUGCCAAGAUGGGACUCCUCCUGCUUUCACGCGCGCGGAUGAGGGACACCCUGCUCUGGCUCCGAUCGGCGAUCGACUAUGGGGUUCAGGAGCAGCAGCAGCCGGACGACGCCACAGCGAGCAGCGAUGCCAGCAGCGCAACAACGGUGGACCCGGCAGAGUGGAGUCGUGUCCUGCGAGAAGCGGGCUCAGCAGGGCGCCACGCUAUGCGGCCAUGUCGGAAGAUUCUGUGGAUUGCCAAAGGGGAGGAGACAGGAGGAGAGGACUCUUCAGAUGGUGAGAGCUAACGACGGUGCGUGGGGCCGACGACGGGCAUGGCGAGCAGCGAUAAUGCAGUGUGUUUGUUGUUCGUGUGCAAAUAAGGGGGUCUGCAAGGAGUAGCGAGCAGAAGCAACACAAGACGACGGCAGCGGCACGAUGCUCUCACCUCAGGUCUCUCCUUCCCUCGCUCUUCCUCCGCUUCCACUCUUCCUUCUUUUCACUGCUCGAUGUCGUGUUGUCGUUGUUUGUCCUGGAAGGCGGAAGCAACGACGGCAGGGGCAGCAGUGCAGGUACAGGUCGCCCACCGUCGUGGUCUGGACAUUUGAUCAGUCUCGAGCUAACCUCCCCUUGGAUUCAAUUCUUGCUCCUCGAGUACACUAGAUUUUUCCCAUGAUUCUUUUUCCGGCCUGGAGAUCAGCCUAGAAAUCCUCCUUCCCCGCUUUGUUCUGAUUGUUUAUUUCAUAGGAGUUCUAUUGCUGAAUGGUGGCAAACCAGGAGGUGGCGGCAGAAUGUGACGAUGACGGUGGAUGUGAUGCGCGUCACAAUGGCGGUCCCUGGCAGAGCUCAUGCCGUUUGAGCUCGACACCGCAACAACUGCGGCCUCUGUGUGUCAAUCGCCACCACCUUGAUAUUAGUAUAGAAAAUCAAUAUUUUAUUUGUUCUUCGUAUGAAUGGCCAACCCUAUAUGAAUUCAGGUUUGGGGAUCUUGCUUCAUAUCCUGUUUGAAACUUGGAAUUUUGAUUGUCAAGCAUAGCGUUACUUUCACGGUCGCCUGCAUAUUUUUCUGAUGGCUUACAAGGCAAAACACACAUCAUGGAAUGCAGGGAGAACACAAAUUUAUUUUGCUCUUUGUACUUCUAUUAGAUAGGCCAUACUGCAGGAAGAAUGUGGAUCUAUGUUGCUCUCUCUACUUUUAUUAGAUAGGGCAAAUUCUGUUUGUUUCAUUAAUGUCUUCGUUACUGACGGUACUGAUAUGUAAAUUUAACAUCUGAUACCAUUAGAAUUGGCCCUCAAAUUGCAACCAAGAUUAGAGCUGCCUGCCUCGGUCUGUGCAAGAACUUUUUUACUUUAUCUAUUUUGUAAGAGCACUACAGUCUACAACAGUUGUUUGGAAACCCCAAAUUUGAGAUUUGGUGAGAAUGAAUGUACGUGUUUGAACCUUUCUGCAGAACCUGAAUCUCAUGAUGGUACAGAGAGGGAAGUAUGCCAGAGAUAGACAUGUUAGUUUAUAAGUAUAUCAGAAUACAAUCAUACAAUGCAGAAUUGGCCUGUUACAUAUUCUACUCAUCCCUCCCUCCCCCACAAUCCAUUGGAUUGCAUAUGAAGAAUGUCAUUAAAUAAGAGGUGGAAGGUCAAAUCGGCAAGACUCCUUGUGAAGACCACUAGCCAAACAAUCGGACUUCUUUUUAGCCGGUCUAGAUUCAGUUUGUAUAGCUUAGGUUUUGGCACUAUCUUUUUGAUAUUUGAAGUCAAUUCUAUGAUUUCUUUCACAGAUGUGCCAAGACGGGCAAGGACACCAAGCGGGGAGGGACAUCGCCCAACACAUAUCUGAGCUUCUCCUUUUUGCAUUCGCAACAAAGAAGAGAAGAGGUGGAGCUAGCAUACCUGCAGAUGGGCUGGUGACGGUGAGGUCGCCCGCAAGUACACCCAACUCUGGCUGAGGAUGCCGGCUCCUGCUUCCUGUGGUUAUGGAAUAUGUUGCUUUGUGGCUAUUGGUUAAAGAAUAGAUAGUCAAUUUACCUAAGUUUUCUUCCAGGAAAAUUCAUUGGAUUUUGAAUAGCUGAUAUAUAUAUAUAUAUAUAUAUGUCAGUUGUCAUGUAAUGUAUACGUCGUACUUUUGGAAUACUUACUUUUCCAUUUUUGUGGAGGUGUGAUGUAGACAAGUAUCCAGCCAUGCAUGAUGAAUAUGAUUAAUUAAGUUUCUCUCCUUUUGGGUCGUACAAUCA